rnacentral:rRNA from 1 species
CUCUAUCAGCCCUAAUUGAUAGUACCUCCUGCCCAAUGUACAAUAAAUAGCCGCUAAUACUGUGCUAAGGUAGCAUAAUCACUUGCCUUUUAAUUAAAGGAUAGAAUGAAAGGAGACACAAAUUGGUCACUAUUUAGCCAAGACAUCCUAAAAUUAACACAAAUGUAAAAAAGCAUUUACAAAUAAGAAGGACAAGAAGACCCUACUGAACUUUCACUAAAAAGUUAAGCUGGGAUGGCCUUUAAAUAACAACUUCACUACACAAUCCUCACCCCGAUCCUACAACAACAGAAAACGGAACAAGUUACCAUAGGGAUAACAGCGCAAUAUUUGUUUUAGAGCACCUAUCCCAAACUAUGAUUACGACCUCGAUGUUGAAUAGUACCCCUAUUUGAGCAAAAACAUUUAUGGAGGGUCUGUUCGACCCUUAAAAUACUACA